rnacentral:piRNA from 1 species
UGGGCUGUCCACACCUGCUUCAUCA